rnacentral:rRNA from 1 species
GACGAACGCUGGCGGCGUGCUUAACACAUGCAAGUCGAACGGUAAGGCCUUCGGGUACACGAGUGGCGAACGGGUGAGUAACACGUGGGUGAUCUGCCCCCUACUCUGGGAUAAGCCUGGGAAACUGGGUCUAAUACCGGAUAUGACCUCCUGCUUCAUGGUGGGUGGUGGAAAGUUUUUUCGGUAGGGGAUGAGCCCGCGGCCUAUCAGCUUGUUGGUGGGGUAUUGGCCUACCAAGGCGACGACGGGUAGCCGGCCUGAGAGGGCGACCGGCCACACUGGGACUGAGACACGGCCCAGGCUCCUACGGGAGGCAGCAGUGGAGAAUAUUGCACAAUGGGCGAAAGCCUGAUGCAGCGACGCCGCGUGGGGGAUGACGGCCUUCGGGUUGUAAACCCCUUUCAGUCGGGACGAAGCGCAAGUGACGGUACCGAUAGAAGAAGCACCGGCCAACUACGUGCCAGCCGCCGCGGUAAAAC